GAUGAGCCUAUGUCUGAUUAGCUAGUUGGCGGGGUAAAAGCCCACCAAGGCGACGAUCAGUAGCUGGUUUGAGAGAACGAUCAGCCACACCGGAACUGAGACACGGUCCGGACUCCUACGGGAGGCAGCAGUGGGGAAUAUUGGACAAUGGGCGAAAGCCUGAUCCAGCAAUUCCGCGUGUGUGAAGAAGGCCUUCGGGUUGUAAAGCACUUUAGGCAGGGACGAAAAAAUCGGCGUGAAUAACGCCGGUCUUGACGGUACCUGAAGAAUAAGCACCGGCUAACUCUGUGCCAGCAGCCGCGGUAAUACAGAGGGUGCAAGCGUUAAUCGGAUUUACUGGGCGUAAAGCGUGCGUAGGCGGUUCGCUAAGUCGGUUGUGAAAUCCCUGGGCUUAACCUGGGAACUGCAGUCGAUACUGGCGGACUAGAAUGCGGUAGAGGGUGGCGGAACUCCGGGUGUAGCGGUGAAAUGCGUAGAUAUCCGGAAG
rnacentral:rRNA from 1 species